ensembl:lincRNA
AAUGGACGGUGGAGAGAGUGGACCUUUGAACAAGAGUCCAACCUCCUCCCCUCCUCCUGUUGCUGGGCUCUGAAAUAAAGCAAAGUCUUAGCUUUUGAGUAAGGAAAAGCCAGGCCUCCACUUUCAGUAAAAUUAAGUUGCUUAGAAACAAAAAUGUAUGCUUUUCCUUGGGAAAUAAUGAACUUUGUCUUAAUGAAGAAAGUGGACUUCAGUGAAAAAAUGGAAAGAAAUAACUACUUGCAGAAACCUGUAAUAUCAAUUCAGGAAGACACUAAUGAAAAUUAUACAUGCUAUAAGGAAAUAAGAAUCCAUUGCAAAUCACCAGGAAAUCAUUUAAAAACUGGAACAAAAUAUUCUUUGAUAAAUCAUAAGGAGUAUUCUAUCUUAGAGGAUUUGUAAUUCAAUCUUUGGUGCUACCUACCUUACUUGGGAGCCUCCUUAUUGAAAGUGGACUUCAGCAUCUAGCAAAGUGCUUGGUAUAUGAUAGGCAACCAAGAAAUAUUUUUCAAUGGGAAAUUUCAAAUGAUAUUCCUUGGACUCACUUUUAAAGUUUUUAUUUUAUGUUGUCAUGUCACUGGAUUUAAGUCAGGAAGCAACAGUUAGAACUGGACAUGGAAAAACAGACUGGUUCCAAAUAGGAAAAGGAGUACGUCAAGGCUGUAUAUUAUCACCCUGCUUAUUUAACUUAUAUGCAGAGUACAUCAUGAGAAACACUGGGCUGGAAGAAGCACAAGCCGGAAGAAAUAUCAAUAACCUCAGAUAUGCA